AUGGAAAUACAUAGGAGGCAUUACUUUCAGAGCAACCUUUGUGCAUUCUUCACUCAGCAUUGCCCAGGCAUGCCAAAAGUUUGGAUACCUAUGCAUGUAAAGCAAACCAUCCUGAAUCAAGCACACAUUCCCUGUGCAACACCUCAACCUGCACAACUACACAUUUCUUCCACUGAUUUCCUGCUUUUCAUCCCCUCUGAAAUGUUUUGGAUUCAUCCUUUCCUCCAAGCUUCAGGAGCUUCUCCCCCAGCAAAUGCAACAGUUGUGCUGCUAGGAGCAUGGACUUUCUGUCCUCAGCAUCAAAAGAAGUCAUCCCAAAUAUGCAGAAAAUGCAUUUCAAUAUCCUCCAGCAGCAAGAGCAGAAAUCAAGCAGCAAAGGUGCAAUAGAAGAGGCUGUGGCUGCCAGGCUCCAUCCCUUCCCCUUCCUUUUGCACUAUCUGAUAUCCAAGUGGGAGGUUUCCAUUUGAAGUGUGUUUGUGCCCCAUCAGUAGACAACUAUGGGAAACAGAGUUCUCCUAGCAAGAGCUAAAUUGGCACCUAUGUUUUCAGGGGAAUAGAGAAGGAAAAAGGAAAAUAUUUAAGUGAUCAAAAAAAAAAAAAAAAGGAGUGUAAGAGGCUGUUUGUAAAUAUAUAUAUAUAAAAGGUAAAGUGCUCACAUUGAGGCAGUGAUAAAUGGAGAUUUGCAAGGACAAGUGAUGGUGUCAUGGUUUUAUGAUUUUUGGUUAUCAAUAUUCCACAUCAUAACAUCAUGUAGUGCACUGGGAGUUAAAAAGUUAAUGCUCCAGUUCCGUGGAUCGUGGAUAGUUCUGGGUACCUAGUUCUCAGAAGAGAAGAAGUACAUUUCCCAGAGGACUGCUCACUGUUCUGUUACCAUUUUACAUUCAGAGGGAAAGAUAAAAACUGUUCACAUAUCAUGAGACGUCCCCUUUUUGAUCUCUUCCCCUUCUGCUUGUCCCGGCAGCAUCUCUCUUCCUAGCCAUCUCGCUGCCAGAAUUAGAGUAAGGCCUACCUUUUUUGGACACUCUCUCUCUCAUUUUAUUUGUUUUAUUAGUUUCAAUUCCAAUUAUAUUGUAUUAUAUUGUAUUAUAGUGUGUUAUUUUGUGUUCCGAUAUCUUAUUUAGUAAAUUAGUUUGUUUCUUCUCAGAUCGUUGCCGCUGUUUUGUUUUUAGGCCCAUCUUCCUACCCUUUCCCCUUUGUCUUUUCCCAGGACGUGUGUUGCCCUGCCCUGUUCGUCAUGGAACCGGGCCAGACCUGCCUGUAAACCACUGACAGAUGGUAACUCAAGCAGCUUCAUCAGAGCUGUGCAAACAAUGACUCCUUGUUUGAAAGCAAACACAGGGACUGCUUUCCUCAUUCACUUCUUGCAGGGAAAGUAGCCAGAAACUAC
rnacentral:lncRNA from 1 species